rnacentral:rRNA from 1 species
UGGGGAAUAUUGGACAAUGGGCGCAAGCCUGAUCCAGCCAUGCCGCGUGAGUGAUGAAGGCCCUAGGGUUGUAAAGCUCUUUCACCGGUGAAGAUAAUGACGGUAACCGGAGAAGAAGCCCCGGCUAACUUCGUGCCAGCAGCCGCGGUAAUACGAAGGGGGCUAGCGUUGUUCGGAUUUACUGGGCGUAAAGCGCACGUAGGCUGACUUUUAAGUCAGGGGUGAAAUCCCGGGGCUCAACCCCGGAACUGCCUUUGAUACUGGAAGUCUUGAGUAUGGUAGAGGUGAGUUGAAUUCCGAGUCUAGAGGUGAAUUUCGUAGAUAUUCGGAGGAACACCAGUGGCGAAGGCGGCUCACUGGACCAUUACUGACGCUGAGGUGCGAAAGCGUGGGGAGCAAACAGG